rnacentral:lncRNA from 1 species
UUCUGGAAGCCUGGGGUGCUGGUGGGGGCCGGGACUCAGGUAUUAAACACCUCAUGCUGCAUAAAGCCCAAUGACUGGUGAAGUAAGAACAACACAAUUUCCAGAACCCCCUCUGAAUUUCCUCCUCUCCUCGCUACUUCCUGCAUGAGACUGAACAUCGCCUGACACAGAGAGUGCGAUAUUCUCCCUCAGGAGAAACACUUUUUUAUUCUCCUACAUCAGCAUAGAACAAGUAACUGGUCUCACACGUAUAAACUGGAUGGGCUGGUGAAGCACAUGGAUCCCAAGGCCACUUCCGCUGACAUCCUGAAAUGAUGGUCAAAUGUAACUUCCUCCUGGAAGCUCCUCCUUGGAUCUGUACAAGCUGGAUCCCAGAUCUCUUCAGCACCCUGACUGAUAUCGCAUCUCAGGUGAUGUCUCAGGCAGACCACGAGAGAGACCAACCG